CCUAUACAGUUUUCUGUUGCUCUAUACGUUCUACAUAAACAUGUUUUUCCGAGUGCGAGAGAAGUCCGCAAGUGCAUGCAAAAUUGCCGCAUGACUGGCCAAUCGAGGCACUUUGCGUGUAUUCGCAGGCUUCUUUCACGUUCGGAGAAACACUUUUAUGUAGCAGGUAUUGAGCAACAGAAAGUUGUAUCGGGUGUUUUUCAUGUCGCUCUACAAUUUUCUCAUUGACACUUUUCAUCUCAUAAUAUUUGAGAAGUGGAUUAAUUAAGACUAAUGAUCUAAUUAGGCAGAAUGAAAAGAAAUUGAGUAUCUACAAGCGACGGCAAACAAUGUUACCUUGGUUCUGUCCAGCUAUGUGGCAUUCACAUUUUUAAAACUCUGGCUAAAGUUAGCUGGGGUAUAUGUUACAUGAACUCUGUUAUCACUUUCUUGACUUUGCAUCGUUUUUAGCAGGUCCUGUAACACGGGGAACACAGAAUUAAAAUUCAUUACGUUUGUUAGUGUGUUUACAACCAGAUUGAAAUUGUUUAAUAUAAAGGAUCAAGCCAUUCUUCUUGGCUUAGUGGGCGCAUUAUCCGACUUCAGAACAUUCUUUUUCCUUCAUCGCGGCGCUUUGUUUCGCAAGAUUGCUACGGCAUGUUGCUCGUGAAACCGAAAUGACCAGGGUCUAAUUGUUUCAGUUUUACUUCAACUUCUUAUUGUUAAUAUUUAAUUUGUUAUUAUCGAAGUAUCAAUAAAAGAUAAGUAUUGUGUAACUGACUGUUUUUAUCUAGAAAUUAAAAAGGUAUAUAAAUAUUCUGGUUGUUUCUUUUAACGCACCAUCAUCAUCAUUUUCUCUCGUAUUGAGCCAUGUUUUGAACAAAAGCAGAACUAUGCAGAACCACAGAGAAAAAUUCAACAAGAGGGGACACUCGGCGAAAACUGGCGGCAGGAAACGCGUCACGCCUAAUGUUCACACCAUCUGUUAGCUGACGCGAGCAUCGGAAAAAAAGAAUGUGAAAUGAACUUACAACGUUUCAUUUAUUUUUCUUUCCCGCUGAAGCUAAAAAGUUUUGCUUAUAAAAGAACUUAUACUUUGCGACUUAUUUUUCUUGCGUCACCGAGCAACAAUGUAACGGCCAGCCAGACGCGCCAGAUGCAUGCGUCAUGCACCAGACACCAUAGAGUUUCCUACUUUAUUGUAUGAAACUCUCUACCAGACGCGCCACCGAUGCGAGAGAGGCUGGCUGCGCAUGUGAAGUUCGCCUGUUCAGCGACGCGUUUAUUUUGGAUGUAGCCUGUUUGCUAGGUUCCCGGCGUAUUCUUGCGUUCCUUCGGCUCUUCGACACGGCACCAAUGCACUAUUGGACUACGCCAAGGUGAGAAAUUUUGUUUGACAGUCUGCGAUGCAUUUCAAGCAAUUUAGGCUUUUGCCAUAUCUUUUACGGCACGAAACCGAAACUUGUGACACAAUUAGCGAAAAACAGCUAGGCCGUCUUACAUGCGUCUUGUCGUAGUUGAGUUAAUGACUUGUACUGGGAGAUGUUUGAGACUCUUUCUAUAGGCUCCAACAUUAUUGUCUUAUUUCGGUAGUUUUUGGGCACACUCGCCGCACCUGGCUUUGUGACGCAGUGAAAAGCAGCUGGGCUGUGUGACGCAGUUAGUUUCGCGUGUAUCAAAUCGUGCUGGGAUAAGUUCGUGACGCUUUCCGUGACCCCCAACAUUAUUGUAAUUAAUUUCUGUACUUUUUGGGGUACUUUUCAAGUACAUGACCAUAAGGAGGGGAAAGCGCACAGCAACAGACGUCUCUCAUCCUGAAGAGCCUGCUAUCUUGGAAUUUUGCCUUGCAGUGACCUGAAUAUCUGCAAGAUGAUGUGUAGCAGCCUGACCAGUGACAGAUCCUUCAGCGCCAUCCUGAAAGAUAAAAAAAGCAGGCAUGUCAUGGUUUCGACACGCUCCUGAGAGGGCGGCAGCAGAGAGAUGACUCAGCGUGAAGAACCCCAUUUUGUUGUACGGUUAUGUAAAAGGGCUGACAAUCAUUUUUACGAUACUCAUUCUUUUUUCCUUUUAGUGCAACUUAAAGGCUUUGCAGUUCAUUCAUUGUCCAUUUAUACAGUUUUAAUGCGAAAAACAUUGUGGAACAUUUACCUAAAUAGUUCGUUAAUUAUGUAUCCCACACUUUGUGGGAGCUCAGGGUACGCUUAAAAAUUAUGCAUGCUGAUUUUUAUGUUCACAGUAGUUGUAUAUAUUAGAACGUUCACUGCUUUGGACAGAAUAAAAGUAUUUUUGUUGUA